UUUAAAUUUGGUUUCAAAUUGUCACUUUAAUCACCUGGUUAUAAUAUAGUGAAAUGAAAGAUUCUAUACAACCUAGACACUCCUUUAUACAAAAAAUCUGUAUCUCAAGAAAACUUGAGCAUUUUCAUAAACAGAAAUGUAUCUGCAAACUAAAACAAACAAAAGCCUACUCUUGUAUUUCUAUGAAACAUUUAGUGAGUGUCAGUUAUAUGCCAGACACUGGCUAAGAGAUACAGCUGGGAGAAAAUAAGUGUAAUAAUCAUGGUUUCUGCUCUCAGGUACCUGGCAAAUUAGAAAAUCCUUAAAAAUACUGACAGCAUGCUACAAUAUUACACUUCUUUGGAAAUAACUGUUCAGUGCUUUAUGGUGUAAACUAAAGCGCGUCAGAAUAUAAAGUCACCAAAAACUUACUAAAUCUCUAUUAAGUACUCACAUUAUUCUAGGUAGGAAUUAUGAGAAGGAAUUUUUAAAAAGAGAAUGUCAGAACAGUACUCUUUCAAAGUGGCAUUUUCCUUUGUUUUAAAAUUUUUUACAUUCAAUAUUUUCUUUAUACAAUUUACAAACUACUUUUUACAAUAAGCAUGUCAAAAUUAAAAUUUGUUCCUAAAAAUUGCAUACUAAACACUGUUUAGUAAGAAAAUCUGAUGUUAUCUUGGUAUUACCUAUUCCUUUUCAUUUCUUGGUAUAUCUGUGCAAUUUAAUCCAAAUCAUUUAAAAACUAUUGAUUAUCUGGCAUAUUUCUUGGAAAACCAACACAAUUCUUUAACAAAUUUAAUUCAUACUCCAAACAACUAAAAAAAAAACAAAAUAAGCAAAUAAGUUGAUAUUUAUACAUUAAGAUAUUGCUAUAGGUACAGUAUGACUAAAUACCAUAUAGUCCAUAAUGGCUUAAAAGUCAAGGUUUACAUAAAAAGAAAUUAAGAGAGAACAAAAAAUAAUACGUUCUCCCUAAACACAGACCUGUAUGGGACCGAAAGUGUUUGUUGAGCUCUCCUGAGGAAAUAAAACUUUUCCCACAAAUACCACAUAUGUAUGGUUUUUCACCUAGAUGGAAAAUAAAAGAUAGCGAAGUGGUGUACUAUACCAAUAUAAUAUUUAUCAAUUACAAAUAAUCUAAAGUAAGCUUUUCUGGAAUAUUAUUUAAAUUAAAAUCUCUCUAUAUUGUACUUUAGAGGUAUUUUCAGUGAUCCAAGUAAAUGAAUAUUAGUAAUUAUUGUAUACUGUUCAUAAGUUUUCAUAUAUUAAAACUUUAUUCCUCAAAAUGUCCCUUCUAAUAGAGAUGAUUUGGGCAAGGAAUUUGAUUUUUAUAUGAUUAAGAACAUGUCAAUUCAUAAACCCACAUUUCUAUUCUUGCUAUCUACUAUAUUAAUAAAGGAGAAUAAAAGUAUGUAGGGAAGUCUUUUAAAAAAUGUACCCUAAAAAAGCAAUUUGUUUCCAAACUGCUAUUUUGCAUCUGAAUUACCUUAUUUGAAAAUCCCAGAAUAUCUGUGUAGGAAAGGUCCUAAGAAGUUUAAAAAUCCAUGUUCAACCCAAACCCACUCCCCAACCCUAACUAUAGGAGAUGACCCUUUAGGAAGCUGAAAAGGUUUUUAUAAAGUCACAAAAUGCAUCUCAAUGCAAGUUUAUAUAAUAUCAAAAUUAUCUCACUGAUUUUAAUGUGUAAGUUAUAUAAUUUAUUUCACCCACCUUGUAUUAUUCUAGAAAAUAAGUCAGCUUUUAUAUUUAACAAAUAUGUGCAAAAAUCAUAAACAUAGCUUAUAGAAAUAUAAACAGAUAUCUAACUACAAAGUUUCCGAUCUACUUCGCUAAAAGGCCCAAGUCCCCUUUUUCUUUUAUUUAUAACUUUAUUUUAAGCAGUCUCUCCCUGUCAAACUUACCUGUAUGUUUUCGAGAAUGAGUGAUAAGAGAACUAGAGACAGCAAAUGCCUUCCCACAGGUAUCACAUACAUAAGGCUUUUCUCCAGUAUGCCUACGGACAUGAUAGGUCAGUGUGCUGGCUUGAGCAAAUCUCUGUCCACACCUAUCACAGACAUAUGGCUUCUCUCCACUAUGCUUCCUGUUAGUAAAUAAAGUUAAAUAAGUAAAACAAUUUGGAGGUCAGUCUAUAUAGCAAGAAUUCAUAAAGUUUUUUAUAGAUUUUAUUUCAUGUCAUCUUAACAGGCCAAGACUAUGUAUUUAAAAUCAGUAGUUGUUUCAGUGUAAACACUGCCAAAAACAAAUAUUUCUUAUUAUCAAAACAUUAGUUCUGAGAUCAGUUCAAAAAGUUUUUCCAUGAUCUUUAUAUGGUUGUCAGUGGGCCCCUAAUACUGCAGGCAAUUAUUUUCAUGAGUCUAGUCACUCUUUGACUUGUGAACUCUCUCCUCAAACCAUCAGCAUCUCCUUGCCCAUUGUAACUCUCAGGUGACAUCCCUGCUUCCUAUUUCACUGAGAAAAAUUCAUAUGACAUGAGGGUGACAGUUCAUCUGAAUCCAUCAAUUCCAAUUUGUAUACUUGAGAUCCUACUUAAUGAUAUCACUUCUGCAGUUUCCCCAGUCCUACAUCAUCCAUGUUUCUCACUCCAUUGGAUUAUGGUAUACAAAUAUACUGAUGUCUCCCAUAUUAAAAAAAAACCAAAAACAAAACAAAGACCCUUGACCUUACUUGCUCCUCCAUUCUCUGCUCCCCUUUACCAAAACCUUGAGACUCCAAGUGUUCUAUCUACUUCCAUUUCUUCUCUACUGGCCUCUACUAAUGAUACUUUUGUCAAGAGCACUGCUGACUUCCCACUUUACUAAAUCCACGUCAGUUCUCAGUCUUCAUCUCCCUAUCACAGAAUUUUACAAUUGACCACUCCCAUCUGGAAUAACUUCCUUCACUUGGGAUUCCAGGGCAGCCCUCUUUCCUGGUUUUCCUCCUCUACUGGCUGCUCCUUCCUAGUUACCUCUGCUGGUUCUCACCCAUCUCUCAGAACUCAUAAAGUUAGAGUGCCUCAGGGCCGUCUUUUGAUUUCUUCUGUCCACAUUCACUCUCUUGGUGACCUUAGCCAGGGUUACAGCUUUAAAUACUGUCAUAUGCUGAUGACUGCCAAACGCUAAUGAUUGCCAAACUGUUAUCUUCAGCUCAAACCAGUCCCCUGAACUGCAGACUUAGAUAACCAAUUAUCUAUUGCACACCUCUAUUCAGAAGUGUUAAGUCAUCUCAAAUUUAACACACACAGAACUGUACUCGUAAAUUCCUGCACUUCCACUUAAACUGUUCUACCCACAAACCUUCUCUAUCUCAGUUAAUGGCAGCUCCAUCUUUAUAGGGGUUCAGGCCCAAAACCUCAGAAUCAUCUUUGACUCUCUUCCAGACUUCACAUACAAUCUGUUUGCAAAUUCUAUUAUUUCUAACUUUAAAAUAUAUCCAGAAUCUACUACUACUUAUUUCUUUCACUGCUGCCACCCUGGCCUGAACCACCAUCACCCUUGCUUGGGUUUUAUCUAUAGAUUCCUGUUUACCCUGAUUCCACUCUUAUAAUCCUAUACCAGUCAGAAUGAUCCUCUUAAGCUGCAUUCUGGACCAUUCUGAUCUUACUUCUGGACGAGUCUGACCUUAUUUCCUAGUAGUCCCCACCCCCUGCUUAUUUCCUAUCAACCACUGUGGCUUCCUUGUGGUUCCUUGAACGUGUUAACAUUGUUUGGUGGAACCACAAUUACAAUUCUACUGUCCUGAAUUCUAAUAUAAUAGUCUAUUCAUAAGACUAUGGUGAUUAAAAGACUAAAAGAUCAAACAACUCAUUUGGUUUUUUACCUUGCAUGAAUCUUGAGAUUGCUAGAAGUUGCAAACUGUAAGUUGCAUACAUCACAUUUAUAGGGUUUUUCUUCACCAUGAUGCAUGCGACUAUGGAAGACUAGCUGACAUUUCUGAGCAAAUCCUUUAUCACACAAUUCACAUUUGUAUGGCUUCUCACCUAAAGGAACAAUAAAAUUUAUAUUUAGAAGAAAAUAGUGUUUUGGUUGCAUAAGUCAUAUAAGAUUUCAUCAACAGUACUAGCUUUGUUAUUAAGAAAAUGUUAACUGUUGGAACUGAAAACAAAUAUAAUCUUUUCCAGACCACUGAAAACACCAGUAGAAUCAAAAGAAAUUAGUGUUUCUGAAUUCACGAGAUAAAUACAUACAGCAUUUUAAAAAGUACGAAUCUAGGGCUGGGCUCGGUGGCUCACGCCUAUAAUCCCAGCACUUUGGAAGGCGGAGGCGGGCGGAUCACGAGUUCAGGAGAUCGAGACCAUCCUGGCUAACAUGGUGAAACCCAGUCUCUACUAAAAAUACAAAAAAAUUAGCCGGACUUGGUGGCAGGCACCUGUAAUCCCAGCUACUCGGGAGGCUGAGGCAGCAGAAUGGCUUGAACCCGGGAGGCGGAGCUUGCAGUGAGCCGAGAUCGCACCACUGUACUCCAGCCUGGGCGACACAGUGAGACUCUGUCUCAGAAAAAAAAAAGAAAAAAGUACGAAUGUAAACGUACCAAUAGGUGCUCAUACUUUACAACCAGGCAGAGGACAUGCAAAAUAAAGGUAACUGUAGAAGCUUAGGGAACACUGUAUGUGUAAUUCCAAUGAACAUGUUCAGAAGUCAACAGAGUCUAGAAGUAUGUAAUGAGAAGUGUUGGCAAUAUCUGAAAAUUGGCCUGAAUUGUAAUUACAUUUUCUCUUUAUCAGUUUUAAUGUCUUUGUCUCUGUUAAAUACUUGGUAAGCUAGAAUCAACAUACUUAUUUGGAGGGAAAAUGGUAUAAGGAGUUGAUGCAUUAGGGCUUAAACAGCCAUUAAAUACUUGGUUACAAUUACAAAUAAAUUUUCAACAGUUUAACACUGUUAAAUACUUUGAUGAAUAGAAAAAUAUACCAAAUUCUGGUCACAAGUAGUGUGUGCUAAGUACUCUCUAUAAAAAUACACUAUAUUAGUCACAGUAUAAAAAUAAUAUCUCCCCACACACCCGUCUCACCUGUAUGAGUUCUUACAUGCGUUUUCAGCUGGUUACAUUGGGUAAAU
rnacentral:lncRNA from 1 species